rnacentral:rRNA from 1 species
GACGAACGCUGGCGGCGUGCUUAACACAUGCAAGUCGAACGGUGAAGCGCCUUCCUUUUUGGUGGGUGUGGAUGAGUGGCGAACGGGUGAGUAACACGUGAGUAACCUGCCCCCUUCUUCUGGAUAACCGCAUGAAAGUGUGGCUAAUACGGGAUAUUCUGGGUCUGUCGCAUGAUGGGUCUGGGAAAGAUAUUGUUUCGGUGGGGGAUGGGCUCGCGGCCUAUCAGCUUGUUGGUGGGGUGAUGGCCUACCAAGGCGGUGACGGGUAGCCGGCCUGAGAGGGUGGACGGUCACAUUGGGACUGAGACACGGCCCAGACUCCUACGGGAGGCAGCAGUGGGGAAUAUUGCACAAUGGGCGCAAGCCUGAUGCAGCGACGCCGCGUGAGGGAUGGAGGCCUUCGGGUUGUGAACCUCUUUCGCCAGUGAAGCAGGCCUGCCUCGUUUGUGGGUGGGUUGACGGUAGCUGGAUAAGAAGCGCCGGCUAACUACGUG